rnacentral:lncRNA from 14 species
AUAGCAACCAAAUAAGGAUGUGGUAGCAGGGAAGGUCCAAGCUGAUAAGGAAGCAGGUCAGAAGCAGCAGGAUCGCAAAGAAAUUUUAAUGAUGACAGGACAGCAGCUGCAUUUCUGAGUAAAAGGGAUCCGUUGACGCCAGCUGAAGCAAGUGGUCCAAUCAACUGUGGAAGAGCAACGAAUGCAAGGAGAAUGGAUUCUCAUGGGAACGUAGCUGACUGGAAGGCAAUGGAACAUCAUCUAGAAGACCAAGGAGGACACAUCUUUGUGCUUGGGCUGUGCUUUGGAUCUUCCACAAGAAACUCACCCUAGCAGAUCUUACCAAUGCUUUAAACUCUAAAGCAUCAGGGCAGGGAAUGAAUUAAACAAUUAAAAUUCAAGCCAUCAAAAAAAAAUUAAGUCAUUGUCUGCUGAUCUCUAAGAUAAAUGCGUGCCACACGUUUGGAACUAUUUUCUUUGCGAAGGAAUACGUCAAAUGGAAUUCCAUAUGUUCAAUCUGUGUUCAUACCCUGACCAUGAGUCUGUAAAUCUAGGGAUGUUACAAUAUGUUAAAAAUGCAAUUCCCAGAGGCUACCCUGAA